GUACACGCUGUGACUAGCAUAUCAAUAAGCGGAGGAAAAGAAACUAACAAGGAUUCCCUUAGUAACGGCGAGUGAAGCGGGAAGAGCUCAAAUUUGAAAUCUUAAAGGGUUUCCCUUUACGAAUUGUAGUUUAAAGAAGUGUUUUCUGUUGAAGUUUUGGUAAAAGUUCUUUGGAAUAGGACAUCACAGAGGGUGAGAAUCCCGUCUAUGAUUGCGAUUUGUAGCUUUGUGAUACACUUUCAAAGAGUCGGGUUGUUUGGGAAUGCAGCCCAAAACGGGAGGUAAAUUUCUUCUAAGGCUAAAUAUUGGCGAGAGACCGAUAGCGAACAAGUACCGUGAGGGAAAGAUGAAAAGAACUUUGAAAAGAGAGUUAAAUAGUACGUGAAAUUGUCAAAAGGGAAGCGUUUAACACCAGUGUUGUUUUCUGAAAAUCAACCUCUGUUAGCUUUAUGCAUGUUUGUUUAGACCUAAUCAGCUAUCUUGCAUGUUCUAUUGUUUGCAGUGGUGCACUUUUCAGUUUACAGGUCAACGUCAGUUUUUUUUACCGUAAAAAAGUUAAAGAAAGGUAGCUCAUGGCUCCGGUCGUGAGUGUUAUAGUCUUUUUCCUAUGCGGUAGGAGAGACUGAGGUCUGCAGUGUAGGCUAUUUGGCUAGAUACUCAGGUGCUAUGUGAUACCAUUUCAUAAACAACUUGUUGAUUAUGUUUUGUCUAUUGCAUACUCGCUUGUACUAUCAUACCUACGCUUAGGAUGUUGACGCAUGAGAUAUACGC
rnacentral:rRNA from 1 species